UAAAGUGCACCGUGUAAUUCGUUUCUUGGAGGCCGUUUCCCCGACCACCCCUGGUAGAGGGCUGCCUUUUGCUUUCAAACCCCUAGCCCUCGAGUCUAAGCGCAUAGGCACUCCUAAGAAACAUCUGUGGAUACAGGAUUUUUCAACUGCGCUUGACUUUAUUUACAACUCAUUUGAAUGUUUUUUCUGGGUAGUGGAAAUGAUUCUCAAAAAGAUGAAGAAAUUCAGUCUUCUAUAUGGCGAAUUUCUGCCUCAGAGAGUGAGAUUUGUUCAUUGCAAAGAGCAGCUGUUCCCUUAACCCUUAUCAAUGCUUAAGAUGGAAGAUGUUGCUUCUCAUUCCAUUAGAGUUGCCCAGUUUCGCUCUGUCGCCCAGGCUGGAGUGCAGUGGCACAAUCUCGGUUCACUGCAACCUCUGCCUCCCGGGUUCAAGCAGUUCUCUUGCCUCAGCCUCCCAAGUAACUGGUACUACAGUUUGUCCUCGGCUGUUACAGAGAAUUGAUACAAAAAAUGAUCAUGUGAAGAAUUUGCAUCUUCUGCAGAACUACCGGUAUCAGUCAGCAGUAGGAGAUUGCCAGACACGGUGGCUCACGCCUAUAAUCCUAGCACUUUGGGAGGCUGAGGUGUGUGGAUCACUUGAGCCCAGGAGUUCAAGACCAGCCUGAGCAACAUGGUGAAACCCCAUCUCUGCAAAAAAUACAAAAAUUAGCCAGGCGUGGUGGUGUGUACCUGUGGUCCCAGCUGCUGGGAAGGCUGAGGUGGGAGGAACAUUUGAGCCCAGAAGUUGAGCCGUGAUCACGCCACUGCACUCCAGCCUGGAUGACACAGCAAGACCUUGUCUCAAAAAAUAAAAUAAAAUAAAUUUUAAAAAA
rnacentral:lncRNA from 1 species